UACGAAGGGUGCAAGCGUUAAUCGGAAUUACUGGGCGUAAAGCGUGCGCAGGCGGUUAUGCAAGACAGAGGUGAAAUCCCCGGGCUCAACCUGGGAACUGCCUUUGUGACUGCAUAGCUAGAGUACGGCAGAGGGGGAUGGAAUUCCGCGUGUAGCAGUGAAAUGCGUAGAUAUGCGGAGGAACACCAAUGGCGAAGGCAAUCCCCUGGGCCUGUACUGACGCUCAUGCACGAAAGCGUGGGGAGCAAACAGG
rnacentral:rRNA from 1 species